GACGAACGCUGGCGGCGUGCUUAACACAUGCAAGUCGAACGGUGAAGCGCCUUCCUUUUUGGUGGGUGUGGAUGAGUGGCGAACGGGUGAGUAACACGUGAGUAACCUGCCCCCUUCUUCUGGAUAACCGCAUGAAAGUGUGGCUAAUACGGGAUAUUCUGGGUCUGUCGCAUGAUGGGUCUGGGAAAGAUAUUGUUUCGGUGGGGGAUGGGCUCGCGGCCUAUCAGCUUGUUGGUGGGGUGAUGGCCUACCAAGGCGGUGCCGGGUAGCCGGCCUGAGAGGGUGGACGGUCACACGGGGACUGAGACACGGCCCAGACUCCUACGGGAGGCAGCAGUGGGGAAUAUUGCACAAUGGGCGCAAGCCUGAUGCAGCGACGCCGCGUGAGGGAUGGAGGCCUUCGGGUUGUGAACCUCUUUCGCCAGUGAAGCAGGCCUGCCUCGUUUGUGGGUGGGUUGACGGUAGCUGGAUAAGAAGCGCCGGCUAACUACGUG
rnacentral:rRNA from 1 species